rnacentral:rRNA from 1 species
UACGUAGGGGACGAGCGUUGUCCGGAAUUACUGGGCGUAAAGGGCGCGCAGGCUGUUAUGCGAGUCUGCUGUGAAAUGUAACGGCUCAACCGGUGCCUUGCGGCGGAUACUGCAUAGCUGGAGUACUGGAGAGGGAAGUGGAAUUCCCGGUGUAGCGGUGAAAUGCGUAGAUAUCGGGAGGACACCGGUGGCGAAGGCGGCUUUCUGGCAGUUACUGACGCUCAUGCGCGAAAGCUGGGGUAGCGAACCGGAUUAGAUACCCG